rnacentral:rRNA from 1 species
AUUGAACGCUGGCGGCAGGCCUAACACAUGCAAGUCGAGCGGAUGAAGGGAGCUUGCUCCUGGAUUCAGCGGCGGACGGGUGAGUAAUGCCUAGGAAUCUGCCUGGUAGUGGGGGAUAACGUCCGGAAACGGGCGCUAAUACCGCAUACGUCCUGAGGGAGAAAGUGGGGGAUCUUCGGACCUCACGCUAUCAGAUGAGCCUAGGUCGGAUUAGCUAGUUGGUGGGGUAAAGGCCUACCAAGGCGACGAUCCGUAACUGGUCUGAGAGGAUGAUCAGUCACACUGGAACUGGGACAAGGUCCAGACUCCUACGGGAGGCAGCAGUGGGGAAUAUUGGACAGUGGGCGAAAGCCUGAUCCAGCCAUGCCGCGUGUGUGAAGAAGGUCUUCGGAUUGUAAAGCACUUUAAGUUGGGAGGAAGGGCAGUAAGUUAAUACCUUGCUGUUUUGACGUUACCAACAGAAUAAGCACCGGCUAACUUCGUG